AGCAUGAUCCUGUUAAACAUGAAAAAACUGUUUCUCAAGCUGUUAAACAUGAAAAAACUGUUUCUCAAGCUAAGUCAGAAGAGAAAACUAAACAACAAAAGACAGCUUCCACCAAGAAAUCAGAGCACGAAGCUGUCAAACAUGAGAAAGGCGUUCCAUUAACAAAACCAGAGAAGUCAAAAACAGCUGCAAAGCCAGCAGCUGAAAUCCCAAC